rnacentral:rRNA from 1 species
UACAGAGGGUGCGAGCGUUGUCCGGAAUCACUGGGCGUAAAGGGCGCGUAGGUGGCUGGGUAAGUGUGCGGUGAAAGCCCGGGGCUCAACCCCGGGUCGGCCGUGCAGACUGCUUGGCUUGAGCAUAGUAGAGGCAGGUGGAAUUCCGGGUGUAGCGGUGGAAUGCGUAGAUAUCAAGAGGAACACCUGCGGCGAAGGCGGGUUGCUGGGCCGACACUGACGCUGAGGCGCGAAAGCCAGGGGAGCGAACAGG